GCGGGUAUAGUUUAGUGGUAAAACCUCAGCCUUCCAAGCUGAUGAUGGGGGUUCGAUUCCCCCUACCCGCU
rfam:Virgibacillus necropolis strain LMG 19488 chromosome, complete genome.